rnacentral:rRNA from 1 species
AACGAACGCUGGCGGCAGGCUUAACACAUGCAAGUCGAGCGCCCCGCAAGGGGAGCGGCAGACGGGUGAGUAACGCGUGGGAACGUACCCUUUGCUACGGAAUAGCUCCGGGAAACUGGAAUUAAUACCGUAUGUGCCCUACGGGGGAAAGAUUUAUCGGCAAAGGAUCGGCCCGCGUUGGAUUAGCUAGUUGGUGGGGUAAUGGCCUACCAAGGCGACGAUCCAUAGCUGGUCUGAGAGGAUGAUCAGCCACAUUGGGACUGAGACACGGCCCAAACUCCUACGUGAGGCAGCGGUUGGGAAUAUUGGACAAUGGGCGCAAGCCUGAUCCGGCCAUGCCGCGAGAGUGAUGAAGGCCUUAGGGUUGUAAAGCUCUUUCACCGGAGAAGAUAAUGACGGUAUCCGGAGAAGAAGCCCCGGCUAACUUCGUGCCAGCAGCCGCAGUAACAC